UUAUACUUCAAAAGGUGAAGGAUGGACUUGGAUGAAGUUUUCUGGUGUUUCAUACUCAAGUUCGUUGUAACAUCAGCUGAGGAGUAGCAAGCUUAGAUGAGUAUUCAAACUUUAGACAGGCCCUAGCAGUAUGUUGUUGAACCCCAUUCGAGAUCCAAUAAGUUCUCCGAGACAUGAGGUUGGAAGCAUAGGAGAAAAAGGAGGAGAAGACUUUGAAGGAUAAAUAGACGAUUCUUGUUAUGGUUUCUUUUAGUAGUUUAUGUUGUGCUAAUUUAGCUUGUUGUAGAAAAUCAUGGUUAUCUACCACCUAUAGUACGUUGUGUUUUAAAUGAAGACUUAUUGUGUGCCUAGAGCUUCUUAUGUGGAUUGUUCGCUAUACUCUUUUGUGUUGUCAAGUCUUUUAUCAUGGUUAAUUUUUAAAGUAGUACUUUUGUUA